rnacentral:rRNA from 1 species
CCCCUAGAUGUUCUGGGCCGCACGCGCGCUACACUGAACAGUUCAACAAUUCUUAACCUUGGCCGAUAGGUCUGGGUAAUCUUUGAACGCUGUUCGUGAUUGGGAUAGACCUUUGCAAUUAUGGGUCUUCAACGAGGAAUUCCUAGUAAACGCAAGUCAUCAGCUUGCAUUGAUUACGUCCCUGCCCUUUGUACACACCGCCCGUCGCACCUACCGAUUGAAUGGUCCGGUGAAAUCUCGGGACGGCGGCUUGGUCGCUUGCGUCCGACUGCUGAAACUUGAUUAAACCAUAUCAUUUAGAGGAAGGUGAAGUCGUANCA